GCCGCGGAGCUCGGCUCCUGACAGGGCUCGGCCGUCCCCGGGGCCCACGGCCUCAGGGCCGCUCCACACACCCCGGGUAUCGCCGCCUCACCUCUCCCCUCCGCCUCAUUCGGCGGAGGACGGAGCUUCCCACCGGCUCCCCGUCCGGCCCCGGCCCUGUCAUCCCCCCCACGGCCGACUGAAGGGCUUGGGCCUGAGGCGCAGCCUAGCAAAACUUAAACCUCGGUUACAAACUGCUGCGCUCGGCCCAGCCAGGCCGCUGCCUUGUGCCGGCUCGGUGCCUGGAGCAGGCAGCUGCCGGUGUGGGCAGCACAGAGGAAAUCCAGAAAUAAAGGCUGGUCCUGCCCCGUAGGAUAAGAAGGGAUAAGAAGGGCAGCGGCAGCGAGGAGCAGCUUCGGGAGCUUAACAGGCCCUCACACGGCGGAGCCUCUGCCUCGGGAUGGUGGAAGGAGCUCCGGAGCCUGCCCUGCCCCUUGGCUCCCCCGAGGGAGGAGACGAUGGAGCAGACUUGUAAAACUCCAUUUGCAAAAAUCUGCUACGGUAAGGAGUGCUCGCUAGCAUGAGGAGUUCGUCACGUCGGGCGUCGUCUUUGCUAGUGGUAAAAUCCAGGACCUGCCUUCGGCAACCGCCGGCCGCUCCCCGGCGUCUCCCGAAGCCGCCCCGCCGGCCGCAGAGGAAGGGAGAGG